ACUUGAUGGCUGGAAGGCGUAUCAGUUACCCACUGCACCAGCCAGGCGACAGAGGAGAAGAGGCCCCUCCAGCCAGCGUCAGGUGCAGAAUGGCCCCUCUCCUGAUGAGAUGGACAUCCAGAGAAGACAAGUGAUGGAGCAGCACCAGCAGCAGCGUCAGGAAUCUCUAGAAAGAAGAACCUCGGCCACAGGGCCCAUCCUCCCACCAGGGCAUCCUUCAUCUGCAGCCAGCGCCCCCGUCUCAUGUAGUGGGCCUCCACCGCCCC
rnacentral:sRNA from 1 species